CGCAGCUACGCGACGCCUGUCACUCACCGCCACUGCCUAGGGCCUGCGAACUCUCGCGAGAUCCAACAAGCUUCCGCCCCGCCUACCGGGCGUGCGCCGUGGGUGCGGCUGCUGAGGCGAAGCUCGGAGCCGCAGCUGUAAAAUGUACAUCUCAAGCACAUUAAAGAUGGUGACAGAGAAGAGUUAAGAAACACAGCACGUCCAGAGGAGCAAGGGACAAGAUCUAAAUAAUCUCAUGAAAUGUUCCUUGAUCCCAAGAUUUCUGCAGAAACUUUCAAGUCUGUGAUAUGCAUUCUUGCGCAUUGAGACAUCCAGAAUAUCAUAGCCUGUCCUUAACUGCAGAAUAAGCCGCUAAGUUGAUGCAAACGCUUUGACAUUUUUAUUGUUUCUUAAAAACCAAAUAAAAAUUUCAGUUUCUCAUUCA